UCAGCUGUGUAUAGGGGACAGUGGGAGAAGGAAAGAUACAGAACAGUGGCCAAAAAAGUGCAUCACAAACAGUCAAGAGGAAGUACAGUGUUUUGAAAGUUCUGUUUGAAUUAUGUAUGUAUUGUAUAGGUGGCUAGAUUGCAA